rnacentral:rRNA from 1 species
UGCGUAGGUGGUCUGUCAAGUCCGAUGUGAAAGCCCUGGGCUCAACCUGGGAACUGCAUUGGAAACUGGCAGUCUGGAGUGCGGUAGAGGGUAGCGGAAUUCCCGGUGUAGCAGUGAAAUGCGUAGAUAUCGGGAGGAACAUCCGUGGCGAAGGCGGCUACCUGGACCAGCACUGACACUGAGGCAUGAAAGCGUGGGGGAGCAAACA